GCCCUGCAUCCCGGGGGCGGGGAGUGGGGCGGGGCAUCGCGGCGAGCGCCGUUGGCGGGGAACCGGGCGGGGAAUCUCUGUGCUUCCUCAGUCCCCAGGCCCAGCACCUGCAGGGCCGAGCAGCUCCAGUCCCAGGUCCAAUCCUGAGUGGCCAAAAGCCGGAAACCCGGAGUUGGAAUUGGAUCUUGCACAAGCUGGACCACGGAGUGAGGCUACUUGAGAAGCAUCUUAAAUGGGGAGAGAGAGCAAGUUAAAUCUGAUUUCCACGCAGCUCUGUGGAUUCCGAAUGUCCACAGUAUGAUGUUAUCUCCAUUCCCACUUCCGAGCCGCUCCUCUUCUGUGUGUUUCCUGCACCACCAUUCGCUCAGUUGCUCUACACUAAAAUUUGCUGUCAUCGUUGACUUCUCCCUCUCCUUCAUCCCCUACAAGUAUCAACAUAGACAACUCCGAUCAAUGUAAUCAUCAGUGAAUAAAGCAAAUUG
rnacentral:lncRNA from 1 species